UACGGAGGGUGCAAGCGUUAUCCGGAUUCACUGGGUUUAAAGGGUGCGUAGGCGGGUUGGUAAGUCCGUGGUGAAAUCCCCAAGCUUAACUUGGAAACUGCCGUUGAUACUAUCUGUCUUGAAUAUUGUGGAGGUGAGCGGAAUAUGUCAUGUAGCGGUGAAAUGCUUAGAUAUGACAUAGAACACCAAUUGCGAAGGCAGCUCGCUACACAUAUAUUGACUCUGAGGCACGAAAGCGUGGGGAUCAAACAGG
rnacentral:rRNA from 1 species